rnacentral:rRNA from 1 species
GAGUUUGAUCGUGGCUCAGGAUGAACGCUGGCGGCGUGCCUAAUACAUGCAAGUCGAGCGAACGGACGAGAAGCUUGCUUCUCUGAUGUUAGCGGCGGACGGGUGAGUAACACGUGGAUAACCUACCUAUAAGACUGGGAUAACUUCGGGAAACCGGAGCUAAUACCGGAUGAUAUUUUGAACCGCAUGGUUCAAAAGUGAAAGACGGUCUUGCUGUCACUUAUAGAUGGAUCCGCGCUGCAUUAGCUAGUUGGUAAGGUAACGGCUUACCAAGGCAACGAUGCAUAGCCGACCUGAGAGGGUGAUCGGCCACACUGGAACUGAGACACGGUCCAGACUCCUACGGGAGGCAGCAGUAGGGAAUCUUCCGCAAUGGGCGAAAGCCUGACGGAGCAACGCCGCGUGAGUGAUGAAGGUCUUCGGAUCGUAAACUCUGUUAUUAGGAAGAACAUAUGUGUAAGUAACUGUGCACAUCUUGACGGUACCUAAUCAGAAAGCCACGGCUAACUACG